rnacentral:lncRNA from 1 species
GCGCGGCGCAUCAUUUGGCGUUAAAACGAGGACGCGGCGUUAGUCGCAAAAUAUAUAAAAUGGCGUUGCGAUGCGACAAUAUAACGAGAGCGAAUUUAUAGUAGUAAUAAUAAUAAUAAUAAUAAUGAUAACAAUAACGACGGCGAAUAAGAAGAAUAAAAUAUUUUACUCGACAAAAUGUGCGUUACAAAUCGCACGUUACGGGACAGCGCUUUUGGUGUGCAAGGAUCACGAUCGUCCCGGUGUCGGUUCAAACUAGGGCGGUGUAUCCCUGCCAUUUUUCGCAAAAGGGUGGUCUGCAAGGCAGCACACACACUUCCGGACUGCUGCUGCACAACAAGCUACUGGUCGUUAUUUUAUUGUUACCAACUAUCGCGGUUAGUCGUGUUUCGUUCACUUGAGUCGGUCGGUGUUUGAAACUGCAGCGGCGGUUGAUGUGCGUCUAUCCGAAAACGAAAGAACAGAAAACAAGUAUCGACGUUCGAUCGCCACGUUUCAGAAAAUAAUUCAAAACCGAAAAAUAAGAAAAAUUAUUCGUGGUCAGUGACAGCGUCGUUCUCAAUGCGGGUAAAAAAUGGAGUCCGCAUUGAAUGAGAAUUAUUAUGCACGCCGAUGGCGAUUCAUCAUCAUGGCGGACACUGUGGCCGACGCGGAUCAAUCGUUACGGCAAAUAUUAUGAUAUGCAUAUAUAAUACCAUGAAAUUAUAUCGAACUUAAUUUUGUGAAAAUUGGAGAAGAGCACGGUACCGAGCGACAAUCAUUUGGAUUUAUACGCGAAAUACUCCACGUACUCAUCGAGCGCAGGCAAAUCCAAAAUGGAGGGUGAAAUUCCGAAGAAUUCUUCGCUGCGGUUCGAUUGUACGUAGUUUAGAUUCAUACAGGUGAGAGAAUUGAUCUUCGUAUCUAUUUUUUUGUGUUAUAAGAUAAAAAAUAUUAAAAUAAAAUAGACAAAACAAAUAACAAGUGGGACGGUAACUGAGAGCAUAGGUACGUACGUACUGCACACAAGUUCACACCGCUAGAGAAACUAUUACACAUGCUCCAUAAAUUUAUUAAUUUCGUAGACGGACUGUACGUAUAUUAUUUAAUUGCCACGAUAUACCCGAGAUAAUGGCAAUGCAGAUAAGAAAAUCUACAUAGAAUAUCUGGUUAAUUAAUUUGUUUAACGUAUAUUAUGAAACUUUUUGACCGACGUUGCGAAUUAAAAUUUUUAUGCAUAUAAGUAGGUAAUAUGUGUAGCUCGAUAUGUAGCUACAGUUUGCGGUUAUAUGGUUGAAAUGCACGUACAGGUAUAAAUGUGUAUACAGGUAGAGCUAACUGAAAUUUCUAAAACCAGGUCCGCGUUGUGCAAAACUACUAUGGGUACAUGGUAUAUAUCAUAGUGAUUUGGAGAAAUUUAUUGAAUAUCGAGAAAAAAUUAAAAAAAUAUGAAUCAACAAAUUAGGUGAUGGUAUAAGAUCUGGACGAAGGAAUUUCUCGAUUCGCAAUCGAAUAAAAGUUUAGAAAUUCAAGCAUAUUAUGUAUACAAUUUCCACAUACGUAUAAUGUAUAUAGUUUUUGCAUGUUAUGAUAUUGCUAACCUAACCAUCAUGAAUAAUAUAUUUUACUGCGCACAUUUGUUGAAAAUUAACAAGUAAAAAAGUAACAAACUGUAGUUUACCUAAACUCCACGGAUUUAGUCACGAAAAACAAAAAAUUCUCAGUGCCGAUGACAUAACCGUGUAGAGUGACUGUUUAACAAAUCAAAAAAGCAGACAUUAAUUUCAUUCAGAAUUUGGCACACCUCAGCAAAACCCAUGUGAAGUUUUUUUGAUAUUGGUCCAUGGUAAUUUUGCUGGGUCCUACUAGCUCUCCUGAGAAGUAAUAAUUUUCAAUUUCUAAUUCACUAACUGUAAUAGAACGCACGUAAUCAAAUCGAAAAAUGCACGAUCUUUCUCAUUCUCUUUUCUCUUUUACAUUGCCACGAAAGAUAAAUCUCAAGGGCCGAUGGCAAAUGUUUGACGAGAGAUGAAUCGCCACGAAAAUCACACCUCAGAGUCGAUGGUGAUUCG